rnacentral:rRNA from 1 species
UGGGGAAUAUUGGACAAUGGGGGCAACCCUGAUCCAGCCAUGCCGCGUGAGUGAUGAAGGCCUUAGGGUCGUAAAGCUCUUUCGCCUGUGAAGAUAAUGACGGUAGCAGGUAAAGAAACCCCGGCUAACUCCGUGCCAGCAGCCGCGGUAAUACGGAGGGGGUUAGCGUUGUUCGGAAUUACUGGGCGUAAAGCGCACGUAGGCGGACCAGAAAGUUGGGGGUGAAAUCCCGGGGGCUCAACCCCGGAACUGCCUCCAAAACUAUUGGUCUAGAGUUCGAGAGAGGUGAGUGGAAUUCCAAGUGUAGAGGUGAAAUUCGUAGAUAUUUGGAGGAACACCAGUGGCGAAGGCGGCUCACUGGCUCGAUACUGACGCUGAGGUGCGAAAGUGUGGGGAGCAAAACAGGAUUAGAUACCCUGGUAGUCCACACCGUAAAACGAUGAAUGCCAGUCGUCGGGUAGCAUGCUAUUCGGUGACACACCUAACGGAUUAAGCAUUCCGCCUGGGGAGUACGGUCGCAAGAUUAAAACUCAAAUGAAUUG